rnacentral:lncRNA from 1 species
GGUUUUUACAAAACUAGAGAACUACAGAUGUUUUGUUCAGGGACACCAUGGGAAAAACGAACAUUUGCAAGGUAGACUGGGAGACUGGCCACAUUUCUGGUGUUUCCAAAUGACUGGCUUAAAAAAUGAAUUUUUGUUUUUUUGUUACAGGGGAUCAAACUCAGGUCCUUGUGCUUGCGGGGCAGGCAGCGGCACCACUGCGCUAAAUCCCUGGCCCCUAAAAAAUGAAUUUUUGAAGAAUAAUCAAAAGGAUUCAAAUAAGAGGAAAUAUUUUCUUAACUCAUCCCAGGAGACCAGACUUACCCUGAUAUGGAGGCCCAAAAAAGACACCGCAAGAAAAGCAAACUACAGAUCACUACCUGCUGCAAACACAGAGGCAAAAGUCCUCAACAGGAUACCAGCAAAUCAAACUCGGCAGUGUGGAUUUCCUUUCUCUGUGUCACACAUUAAAAGUGGAGAAUCAUAAUGAUAAUCCCAUUUGGAUUUAUGAACAGUUGAAUAGACUAUUGAAAAGAUGCCUUAAUCAAGAAAUAAAUUCACUACAGAAUUGCAUUCAGGGUGGGACAACUACCUUUACCCAUGGAUUUUCUAUCGCUUCAGGGAAAACUCUUCGAUGUUUGAAUUAAGCACCACAUCUGGAAACAAAAGAAAACGAUUACUUUCACUAAGUGCUAUCUAUGUCUCUAGGACUAUGGACAAAAUUUGCUUACAUUCUGUCAAAAUUCCAUCCACUUUUGAAGCAGGUUACAGGCCAGGCUGGAGUCAAGGGAGAAGAAAUAGCGUCUACUUCUUGGUGGGAAGACCAGUAUGCACAUAUAGGGAGAGAAGAAUCAGCAC